AAAGAUAUACUUUUCAAUCUUGUGGUUCUAAAUUAAAAAUGUGUAUAAUAUAAUAAAAUAUCCUUUAAAUCUUGUGAUUAUAAGCUUGACAUGUAGGAUAUUUGAAUUGUCAACUUACUAAAUAUAAAAAGAGGCGGACAUAACUAAAAUAAGAUAAAUUUUAACAACAAUUGAGAAAUUAAGGCGAAGAAUAAGAGGAAAAGAAAAAAAAUAUGGAGACUCACUAAGGAGAAUUGCAGUAACAAAAACAUUGUAAUAUGAAUAACAAUACAAAUAAUUAAACGAAAAUAAUUGAUAAAGUAAGAGAUUAAAAGAUUCUUAUUAAUUCUUCUGCUCAAAUGAUGAACAAUCUCUAAAGAUCAAUGAUUAACAAUGGAAUUGACAGAAUAUUAGCAUAGUAUCGUAUGUAAUUAGGUGAAAAUUAGAAAGAUACAAUCACGGGGAAGUGGGGAAAUAGGAUAACUGAUAGUAAUCGAUUCUGAGAACCUCGCUAGUUCCAACUGUUACAUGGCUAAGAUUGUAAACGUUGAAUGAGAUUAAAUGCAAUCCCAAAAAAUAUAUCGGAGCCUAGCCUUAUUUGAAUUAUCCUCUAUUCGAGUACUCUGAACCUUUUCGAGUGAAUCCUCUUGGGCAUAUGAUGUCCGGUCUGAGUAAGGCGCUUCGGGGUUAUGAUUCUCGGAUGAUCAAACAAGUCUUUAAUUUUUCUGGCAUUGGAUAAUCAAUAGUUGAUUGUGGUCUUAUAUAUGCUUGCCACAUAUUCGAUCAAUUAGUCUUCGCUUCCAAUAUAUUUUACCAGUACAAUGACAUCAUUAAAUUAGCUAUUAUUGAAAUUAUAAACCUAAAAAAUUACGAGGCUUUACAACAUAUAAAAGCAAGUUUGGCCAUGUUGUGAAAAAAAGAGUUAGCGAUAAAAGGAAAGAGUGUGAGUCUCUAACAUUUUACUACAAAAAGAGAGUAGUAUUCUUUUGAAGGAAGGAUUUCUUAGUGGUGGAGCUUCGAAUCAACAGUUAGUCUAGAAGUUAUUUGAUUUAUAUGAUGUUAUCAGGUUCUUGUAUCCUGCAAAAGACAAGUCAAGAUUGUUAUUUAUUAUUGGAUCUGUGAAGAUUCUAACGCAGUGCAUUUAAAUCUCAUUAAAGGGAGCGCAAUAUCCAUUUCUUAGCAUGAAAUCUUUUUAUUUUUCUUUAUAUAUUUUAAAUCCUAAUUGUACUUCUGCCAAACAGAGAGUGUUGUCGCUUACAUAUUACUCCCUCCGUCCAAAUUUAUAUGCCAUCUUUCGAAUUUCUAGAGUCAAACGAGUUGUUUUACAACAAUUUUUUCAUAUUCCUUUUGAAUAUUUUAAAUUUUUAAUUGUUGUGACUUAUAUUACUUGUUAGUAGUUUCUGGAUAUGUAAUUUCUUUUGUAAUGAACCUAAAGAUUAUAGGAAAAAUUACAUGGCGUAAUCCAAUUAUACUAUGCAUUUACCGUUUGUAGCUAUAGUUUAAAAUAAUUGCAAUGCCCAGCUAAUCUUUGUAUUUUGUAGCAAAUUCAUAGCUGAAGCUCUCUAGUGUCAUAGGAUACAACUCCUCUUCUCCCUCAUUUCUUCAAAGUCGUCGACCCCCCACUUGCCUUUCUUCGUCGUUGCUUCGUCGGACGGCGCAACACCGAUGAUCUACUGUCGUUUCCUCUGUGUUCUGAUGAAGCACGAUCGGCGACGCAGCAACCACGAACCACCACUGCUUUUCAGGUACUUCGAUAAGAUCCACGCAACUCUGACCAUUGAUUUUGAGUAUAUUCUCACUCUGGCUAAGUCAGAUCUGGUACUUCGACGAAAUCCAUGCAACUCCGACCAGCGAUUUUGAGUGCAUUUCUCAAAUCUGGUCAGACUUCUAAUAGUAGAUACAGUGUAAAUACAACAUAUACAAUGUAUUCUAAGAUCUGGCUGGAUUUUCGUCGUCUCCGGUGACCUGAAGCAUGGAAAUCUCAUUCUCAGAUCUGGUCAGAUUUUCAAAUUGAAUACAGUGUAUUCUCAAAUCUGGCCGGGUUGUCAUUUGUCUCCAUUUGGGUGUAAAUACAAUGUAUACUUUGCAUUUUCACCUCUAUUUUGUAUUCCAAAGCUGGAAUUUUCCAGCAAAUCCCUGUAUUUCUAUAUUUCGUCUUGAUUUGACCAUGUAUCUAUAAUUUUUUCAUGCAAAUUCAUGUAUGUACACCCUUGUAUUUUUUUUGUUUGUAUC